rnacentral:lncRNA from 1 species
CGUGACUCCCCGCCGCGCGGGCUGCCUCUGACGCCGGCCGCCGCUGCUCCCCGCUCGUCCCCUCCGUGGAGGCAGGGCCGCUCGGGCUCCUUCCGCGAGGACGCCUGUGCCUCUCUCCACCAGGGUAUCAGCCAGGGCCAGAAGACAGCAAGAUCAAAAUGGAAGCCAAUACAGCAAACAGAAGAAGAAUUCAGGAGCAUCUCUCCAGAAAUAAGGUUAAAUCAAAAGUAGAAACUUGGGGCCCUGGAAUAAUACCAGCAUACCAAGGUUAGAGGGAGCUCCAUGGAUGUACUUUUCUCCCAGCAUCCUAGAGGACCAGAGAUACUCUAGCAUUGAAAGUACAGGAGGGCCUUACCUUGUAGUCUACCUCUAGGUGAAAUCUCUAGCUUUCCAGAUGAGUCUUGUUUUAAAAUAUAUCCUAUUCUAAGUAAAACUGGAAAAUUAACUUCUAUAACUGACCCUGAAGUUUAUAACUUAAUGUGUGAGUCGCAUGAAGUUUUGUGUGUAGAACAACACAUAGUUAUUUAUAUAUCAUGAAGGCAAUUAAAGUUUUCUUUUAGAAAAUCUCUUCAUCAUCUAUGCUAAAUAUUUAUUAGAGGCAACUUCUAGUACUAUUUACAAUUCAGAUAUUUAACCUGAUUCAUGUAUUACUUGGCAGUUUACAAGCAAAGUAUCUAAUAAAAUCUAUAGUUUUCUUUGCA